UAUUUUCUUACUCUUAAGAAAAAUUGACUUUUCAAAGGAAUAUUAAAAAAACUUUUUGUUUAAAGAAAUAAGGUUCUUUCUAGUUCUUUGUUCUCUUUCACAAUUACAGCCAUGUAAUCCAUAAGGAAUCCAUUAAUGUGUAAGAGGCUUUGAAGCUGCUAGAUGUGUGUGUGUGUGUGUGCGUGCACGCGCACGCUCGCACAUGCACUGUUUUUAUUCUUUUUCACUCAGAAUCUUGCUGCUGCCAACCACUGAUUUAGGAAUGUUUAGGGGUAUAUGCCAACUCAAUAAUCAAAAUCAUUUUGGUACUGGGAACCCAACCACAGUCUCUGUAGACCAGUGGAAUUUAUUGCUUGCUCCAGUUUAUUAAAUAAUAGUACCAGCAACAUUUUGAAUAAAGAAGAGUCUGAUAAGAUGUGAUAGACUGUCAGGAUAAUUCAUUUUGAUCAUAAAGCAAUGCUUAUUUUGAAUUUGAAAUACUGAAAGCAUGACUAGCCCAAUGGUCCACAACUUCCUUCUCUUGACCUGGCAUAGGAGUGCGAUUCCUAGCUCAGUUCAGGGACGAGGUGGACAGACUGCUGGUUUUCUGUGAUAUCUUCAUCCCUGUUUUCACUCCACAAAUACAGCUCUAGAACCAACUGAGGGCCAAGCACUGGCCAAGGCUUUGGGACCACAGUGGUGAGCAGGCUAAAUACAACUCCUGCCACAUAGCACUUUCCAAGGGAAGCUGUCCUGUCUACGUAGGUCACAGAUUAUCGAGACAUUUGAGGUACAAGCAAAACAGAGUAAUGGUGAAGUUUGUGUUUGGACUCAAAACACUCCAAGCUGUUUUAUCUUGAAUGAAUUAUAUGGCCUCCCGAAGCUUCAGGUUCAAAAUUGCAAUAGUAUUUGUUUCAGAGAGUUAUUUUGAGGGUGAAGUGAAAAAAAAAAUCCUUGAACAGCUUUUACCAUAGUACCUGGUUAAUAGCCAUGAGUAGUAGUAGUAGUAGUAGAUGAGCCACAUUGCCCCUUGGCAAAGAAGGCUGUUUUCCCAUCUUUUUUUUUUUUUUUUCUUCUUCUUCUUCUUUCUUUUUUGGCUGCCCUGUGGCAUACAGAGUUCCCUGGCCAGGGAUCAGAUCCGAAGUGUAGUUGCAGCAACGCUGGAUCGUUAAUUCACUGUGCUGGGCCGGGGAUGGAACCUGCAACCCAGUGCUUCCAAGACACUGCCGAUCCUGUUGCACACAGCGGAACACCUGUUCCCCCCAUCCUUGACAUGGAAAACAAAGAUGCCUCGGAUGGGAUGUCUGCCCCUCAACAUCUUAGAUUCUCCUGAUGAAGAUAUACACAACAGAUCUCUGAUGAAAUUCAUCAUGCAAAUUACCAAGAGGCAAGUGAGCAUCUUGGGGAGAGUCUGGGGCAAUGUCUUGGGGGCUGAGUAGAAGUGGGUGUUAGCACUACUAUAUAUGAAAUAGAUAGGUGACAAGGACCAACGUAUAGAUAGCACAGUGUAAUCUACUCAAUACUGUGUACUAACCUAUAUGGGAAAAGAAUCUGAAAAGGAACAUAUAUAUGUGUGUAUAUAUAUAUGCAUAUGUGUGUGUGUAUAUAUGUAUAUGUGUGUGUAUGUGUGUAUGUGUGUAUAUAUAUAUGUACAUGUGUGUGUGUAUAUAUAUAUAUACACGUAUAACUGAUUUACUUUGCUGUACACCUGAAACUAACACAACUUUGUGAGUCAGUGAUACUCCAAUAAAAUUAAAAGGAAAAAAAUAAGAAGUGGGUAUUAGAAGGACAGUCUGAGAAGAGAAAACAGCACACACAAAGGCUCAGAAGUAUGAAACAGGAUGGUGUGUGCUGGGAGCCAUUCAAGU
rnacentral:lncRNA from 1 species